rnacentral:lncRNA from 1 species
AAAAGGGAAGAGAGACAGAAACACCAAGAUCAAGAAACAAACGAGACAACCAAGACAGUUCAGCAACAACCUUACUUAGGACCCUGUAUUCAGCCUCAGCAGAAGACAGAGAGACCACUGGUUGUUUCUUAGAUUUCCAACUAAUCAAAGAACCACCCAGAAUAAUACAGAACCCAGUAACAGACCUCCUUGUAUCGAGGCAAGCAGCCCAGUCACUAUCAGAAUAACCAAUAACAUUGAAGUCAUUGCAAUCAGAAUAAAAGAGACCCAGAGAAGAAGACCCCUUUAGAUAUCUCAAGACAUGAAGAGCAGCAGUCAUAUGGGGGAGUCUGGGGCAUUUGAGGAAUUGACUCAGAUGUAGCACAGCAAAACAGAUGUCAGGCCUAGUAUGGGUCAGAAAUAAGAGCUUACCAACAAGACUCCUAUACUGAUCAGGAGAAGGGAAAAGGUCACCAGAAUCAGCAUGUAAUUUUGCAUUAAUGUCCAAAGGAAAGACAACGCAGCAAAUCACAAAUAUAUUUGUGCUGAUUAAGGAUCAUCCCACCAGGAACAGAUCACAUCUGAAUGCCUAAAAAAUAAUGUAAGGACCCUAGGUCCUUAAUUUUAAACUGAUCAUCCAGAAACAGUUUCAGAGCAGCAAUUUCAUCACAGUCCUCCCCGGUAAUAAUAAUAUCAUCCACAUAAACAGCAACAAUCACAAGGGACCCUGGUGUACCUUUGAUGAAUAGGGAAUAAUCAUUCAAAGAAUGCCUAUAGCCUCGUGCUGAUUAAGGAUCAUCCCACCAGGAACAGAUGACAUCUGAAUGCCUAAAAAAUAAUGUAAGGACCCUAGGUCCUUAAUUUUAAACUGAUCAUCCAGAAACAGUUUCAGAGCAGCAAUUUCAUCACAGUCCUCCCCAGUAAUAAUUAUAUCAUCCACAUAAACAGCAACAAUCACAAGGGACCCUGGUGUACCUUUAAUGAAUAGGGA